CUCUACAGCAGAGUGGAGACGUGCUGGAAUUCAGAGUUCACCACAGCGUGUCAAGGGGAAGGGAAGUUGGGAACAGCAUGUGUGAUCAGGACCUAAGGACUUCUGCCCCAGUUCAUUCAAGGGCACAGCUGAGUGCAGUUUGAAAAGGCAGAAAGAGCUGGGCACAGGUAACUGAGCAACAAUGAAUGGUCAAAUUCAUGAGCAAAAUUAGAUUUCCCCAGGAAGCCUGAUGUCUUGUUUCUGGGGAUCUAAUUCAGAAAAAGGGAGAGAAAACGGCCUCCUUGGUGUGCCCCAGAGGACCUGAUGGAGCUAACAGUGGGGCUGGGGCCGGAAGCGGGAUGCAGACCUGGGCCCCAACAAGGAUGAUGCUGGUAUGACUCAGUCUGCUGAGGUCAGGUCCUGGCAAGACAGGUUCCGGGAAUCUGUGCAUCUGAAGAUGGCUCCUGUCCUUUCGCAACAUGGCAGCAAGCCAUGUGUUUGAGACAUAUGCAGAGGCUGCUGCGGUGCUGAAGACCCCAGUGAGACAAUCAGAAAGAGAAAGUGCGCAGAAGAAACAUCUGCCCCCAAGUGAUGGAAAUACACCAAAGUCUGUUUUCAGGAUUGCUCUGUCGUUUUUUGGAAUAAAUUAUUUUUCUGCUUUCUACGGAACAAUACUCAAACUAAUAAAAACAAUUUAGUUAGUUGUGACAUGCUAAAGCAUGUAGUUAAAAAGCAGUAACUAGUUACAAAUAUCUAAUGGAGAAACAGUUUCCAAUAACCAUAGCUACAGAAAUUGUCAAAUAUCUAGAAUAAACUUCUAUGAAAUGAGCAGCCAUUUGUCCUACCAGAUAUUACAACAUAUAACAAAAUAAUGGAUAACAAGUAACACUAGUUGAGAUAGUCUAGGAGCAACAUAGGCUAAGGCUGGCAAAUUGAUGAAAAUGAAUUACAAGUCCAAAGACAGAUAAAAAUAUACAUGAAAUUGUAAUACAUGAUAAAGGUGGCCCCUCAAACUAGAUAAAUAAGAGUAAAUUUUUCAAUAAUUGGUCUAAUGCCUAACCAUUUGGAAAAAAAUGAAAUUUCUACUUCACACAAUAAAUCCACAUCAAUACCAGGUAACAUAAAGAUGUGAAUGUAAACUGUGAAAUUAUAAAAACUCCAAAGAAAAAUAGUUAUAUACAUUCUGGGUACGGAAGUACUUUCUAAGAAUUGUGCCAAAGACAGAAAUUGUAAAUGAAUAAAAUCAUUAGAUUUUGACAAUGUUAAGAAAUUUGUAUAUCAAAAAAAAUCUUAAAUAAAAAUAACAGGCCAGUCUGGAAGGGUAAGGGGGAAGGAGGGAUAAAGGGAAAAAAAUAUAUAAAUGUGUUUAUUACUGUGACCUGUACACCUAAAAAUGGUAAAGAUGGUAAAUUAUAUAUGCAUAUUUUACUGCAAUAAAAAAUAAAGUUAGAAAAGAAUAAACUUAUCUUUCCCUCCAAAAAAAUAUUAAUAGGCAAACAACAACAUGGGAAGAAAUAUUUGCAACUUAUAAAGGAAGCAAUGAUUUGCUAUCCGUAAUAUAUAUAAAUCAACAGAAAAAAAGAUGAAUUGUCCAACAAAAAAAUGAACAGAAGACAUGAGGAUACAAUUCACAAAAGGAAAAAUAUAAACAAAUGUUGAUGCUGAAUAAAUAGUCAAGCUCAAUAAUGACCAGAAAAAUGCAAAUUUAAAAAAAUGAGAUACCGUUGAAUACAUAGCUACAAAACUGGCAUAUUUAAUCAUGAUAAUAACUAGAAUUAAAGAAGACGUGGGGAAAUGGGUACCCUCAUGCCCUGAUGGCUUGUGUAUAAUAUACACAAACUCUUUGAAGGACCUUUUAGAAAUAAAUAACAAAAAUCUGAAUAAUAUUUAUAUAUUUUGAACCAGAAAUUACACAUCUAGCGUCCAUGUCCAGAGCAUUUAUAAAAAUAUGCAUAUUUUUGGUCCGG
rnacentral:lncRNA from 10 species